rnacentral:rRNA from 1 species
GAUGAACGCUGGCGGCGUGCCUAAUACAUGCAAGUCGAGCGAACAGAUAAGGAGCUUGCUCCUUUGACGUUAGCGGCGGACGGGUGAGUAAAACGUGGGUAACCUACCUAUAAGACUGGGAUAACUUCGGGAAACCGGAGCUAAUACCGGAUAACAUUUGGAACCGCAUGGUUCUAAAGUGAAAGAUGGUUUUGCUAUCACUUAUAGAUGGACCCGCGCCGUAUUAGCUAGUUGGUAAGGUAACGGCUUACCAAGGCAACGAUACGUAGCCGACCUGAGAGGGUGAUCGGCCACACUGGAACUGAGACACGGUCCAGACUCCUACGGGAGGCAGCAGUAGGGAAUCUUCCGCAAUGGGCGAAAGCCUGACGGAGCAACGCCGCGUGAGUGAUGAAGGGUUUCGGCUCGUAAAACUCUGUUAUUAGGGAAGAACAAAUGUGUAAGUAACUGUGCACGUCUUGACGGUACCUAAUCAGAAAGCCACGGCUAACUACGUG